CGGCUUGAUGACAUAGUCUUUAAAGACUAAAAGCAACGAUGAUGAUUGAUUACAGUUACAGAGGAAACAUAGCAAAUAACAAAUUCACAAAAACAUUGCAAGCUAGCCUUUCAACUCAGGAUGCCAGGGUCUUAGGAAUUUGAAAUCGUGGAUUGAGUUUUGUGGUUGAUUCAAGAUAAGAUAAGAGAGGGUAAUAGAUUUAGAGAUACACGCAAGAACAUAAUUUUUAUGAGGAAUGAG